AGCUCCAAUAGCGUAUAUUAAAGUUGUUGCAGUUAAAAAGCUCGUAGUUGGAUCUCGGAUCCGGGCGAAUGGUCCGCCUCGCGGCGGUUUACUGUUCGAUGGCGUCGGUCGGGCGGCCUCUUCGGGGGUUCGUUUCGGUCGGCGUCGUUCCCGGUCUCUCACCCUCUGGACGCUCGUCGGUGCUCUUGACUGCAGUGCCGGCGGUGGCCAGGACGUUUACUUUGAAAAAAUUAGAGUGUUCCAAGCAGGCGCGUUCCGCCCGAAUAAUGGUGCAUGGAAUAAUAGAAUAGGACCUCGGUUCUAUUUUGUUGGUUUUCGGAACUAGAGGUAAUGAUUAAGAGGGACAGACGGGGGCAUUCGUAUUGCGGUGUUAGAGGUGAAAUUCUUGGAUCGCCGCAAGACGAACUACUGCGAAAGCAUUUGCCAAGAAUGUUUUCA
rnacentral:rRNA from 1 species